UCCCUGGUGGUCUAGUGGUUAAGAUACGGCGCUCUCACCGCUGUGGCCCGGGUUCGAUUCCAGGUCAGGAAA